AUUCCUUGAGUACCAUCCAAAUGCUGCUGACCUUGCAGGGUGACCUUGGGCCUCCCUCCCAGCUUUAGUUUCGUCGGAUCUGAAAUGGCGGCAGCAGUCUCCGCCUGGCACUCAUCAACCUGUGCCUACAGGCUGGCUCUCCUCCCCACAGUAGGACACUGGACAGAAGGCCAGGCCACCAGGCUCUCUGCAGCCCCAGGACCUUUCCCUGCCCCUGGCAGCGUGCUCUGUACAUCCAGACCCCACACUCAAUUGAUCCCUGCUGCAUCUGGUGGUACAAGAAAAAAUGCAGAAAAGAAGGGGAAGAAGCUGCAGCUUUGCCCACACUCCAAGAAUACCAACUUUGCUCCAUCUUUAUGACUUUCUUAAAAUGAACCUGUGCUCAUUACGCAACUCAAGACUAAACUAUGUCAUGUGAACACCACAGAAUUUCAAUGAAGGAUACUGAAGAUCAUCUCGUCUAAACCCC
ensembl:lncRNA